GACGAACGCUGGCGGCGUGCUUAACACAUGCAAGUCGAACGGAAAGGCCCUGCUUUUGUGGGGUGCUCGAGUGGCGAACGGGUGCGUAACACGUGAGUAACCUGCCCUUGAUUUUGGGAUAACUUCAGGAAACUGGGGCUAAUACCGGAUAGGAGCUCCUGCUGCAUGGUGGGGGUUGGAAAGUUGCGGCGGUUGGGGAUGGACUCGCGGCUUAUCAGCUUGUUGGUGGGGUAGUGGCUUACCAAGGCUUUGACGGGUAGCCGGCCUGGGAGGGUGACCGGCCACAUUGGUACUGAGAUACGGCGCAGACGGCUACGGGAGGCAGCAGUGGGGAAUAUUGCACAAUGGGCGGAAGCCUGAUGCAGCAACGCCGCGUGCGGGAUGACGUCCUGCUGGUUGUAAACCGCUGUCGCCUGUGACGAAGCGGUAGUGACGGUAAUGGGUAAAGAAGCACCGGCUAACUACGUG
rnacentral:rRNA from 1 species